CCGUCUCUUCCAGGCCUGCUCCUGCUCUGCCUUCUGGCUCCGCGCUUCAGCCCCCAGAGCCCUCUCGCUGCAGCAGAGCUCGAGCUGAUCAAUGCCACGUCUUCGGUCCCCAGCAUGAACGGGACGGCAGACAGCCCUCUCACCUGCCACACCUUCCAGUGCGCGGGGGAGAGAUGCUACCAGGAUCCGGCCUAUGCCAAUGACACUGGGUCCUGCCACAACGCCGCCUCC